AGCUCCAAUAGCGUAUAUUAAAGUUGCUGCAGUUAAAAAGCUCGUAGUUGCAUUUCCGAGGCAAGGGAUUAGUCCGACCUUUGGUGGGUAUUUAAUCCUCUUGCCUCGUCCUUGAGUGGUGCUUCUUGGUAUUAAGUUAUCGAGGAGAUAGCCGCUCAUCGUUUACUGUGAGAAAAUUAGAGUGUUCAAAGCAGGCUUAUGCCGUUGAAUAUAUUAGCAUGGAAUAAUAAGAUAGGACCUCGGUACUAUUGUGUUUGUUUGAGAACCAAGGUAAUGAUGAAUAGGGACAGUUGGGGGUAUUCGUAUUCAGUUGUCAGAGGUGAAAUUCUUAGAUUUACGGAAGACGAACUACUGCGAAAGCAUUUACCAAGGAUGUUUUCA
rnacentral:rRNA from 1 species